ACACUUAUGGCCUAGUGGUUAAGGCUUUGGUCUUGUAAGUGAGAGGUUUGAGGUUUAAUUCCCAUUGGUUGCA
rnacentral:tRNA from 1 species